GGGAUCUGCAGUAGAAUUCUUAGGUCACAGCCUGAACAAGUACGUGAGCAUGUGAGUGCCUGCAGUGGGGGGAGCCUGGAUCCAUCGUUUUGCUCUCCUCGUCUCAGCGGUGCUUCCAGGGGCGUCUAUGCAUUAAGAGUCUGCAGGAGUUUCCCCCGCCCAUCCUUCUCUUACUCCAGCACCAGAGUUUGAACCAGAGAAGGCUGCAUUUCUCAGCUCACCUUUUUUUCCAAGCUGUUGUUAGGAGGGGUGAGUUAAUUCCUCUUUCUUUGAUAUCUUAUUCUAAAGCACCUGUAUCUCAAAUAACGGCCCUGUCAUUGCCUUUGUUUGCCUUACAGGAAUGAAACAGGAGUCCCGUGUGUGAUCCUAGCAGACCAGGCUGGAGAAUUAAGACAUUGCUGGGACUUUAUCUCUAGGGUUUCUGCUGAGCAAAGUGAAGUAAAACUCAUUACAAGCAGGAAGAUGCUAGUCCAUUUAUGGGUCUCCUAGGAAACUGGAUUGAGUCCUUGCCCAUGGAGAUACAGAGGAUUUUUGUGAUCCCAAUGGUCUCCAGAAGUCUAUCCUGCCCUAUACAGAAGCCCCAAGAGAGGUAAAUAUGUAGGCUUUCUUAACUGUUGAUAGAACAUUGUGCAACUAUUUGUUCAGAAUCAAAUGGCAAAUGGCUGUCAAGUAGUCUGAGCAGAGUUCUUGUUGUGGAACUAUUGUGUGAUCUCUUCCAUAGCAGAAAGAAGAAACUAGCACAGGCUGUCAGCAUAGUUCAUUGCCUCAGUUUGCAGUAGAGAGGAAAGACAACUGGAAAUCAUGCCUACUGCUCCCCUUUUCUG